AGUGCAGUAAUGCAUGCAGCUGACCGGUACUAAUAGGUCGAGGGCUUGAUCAAG
rnacentral:rRNA from 1 species